rnacentral:rRNA from 1 species
UUGAACGCUGGCGGCAUGCCUAACACAUGCAAGUCGAACGGCAGCACAGAGGAGCUUGCUCCCUUGGGUGGCGAGUGGCGGACGGGUGAGUAACGCAUCGGGAUCUACCCUGACGUGGGGGAUAACCUCGGGAAACCGGGACUAAUACCGCAUACGUCCUACGGGAGAAAGCGGGGGACCUUCGGGCCUCGCGCGGCAGGACGAACCGAUGUGCGAUUAGCUAGUUGGCGGGGUAAUGGCCCACCAAGGCGACGAUCGCUAGCUGGUCUGAGAGGAUGAUCAGCCACACUGGGACUGAGACACGGCCCAGACUCCUACGGGAGGCAGCAGUGGGGAAUAUUGGACAAUGGGCGCAAGCCUGAUCCAGCAAUGCCGCGUGUGUGAAGAAGGCCUUCGGGUUGUAAAGCACUUUUAUCAGGAGCGAAAUCGCGUGGUCAAUACCCGCGUCGUCUGACGGUACCUGAGAAUAAGCACCGCUACUUCUGCCA